rnacentral:rRNA from 1 species
UGCUACAAUGGGUAGUACAGAGGGUUGCCAAGCCGUAAGGUGGAGCUAAUCCCUUAAAGCUACUCUCAGUUCGGAUUGUAGGCUGAAACUCGCCUACAUGAAGCUGGAGUUACUAGUAAUCGCAGAUCAGAAUGCUGCGGUGAAUGCGUUCCCGGGUCUUGUACACACCGCCCGUCACACCACGGGAGUUGGAGACGCCCGAAGCCGAUUAUCUAACCUUUUGGAAGAAGUCGUCGAAGGUGGAAUCAAUAACUGGGGUGAAGUCGUAACAAGGUAGCCGUAUCGGAAGGUGCGGCUGGAUCACCUCCUUUCUAAGGAGA